AAUAGAUACCCCGGUAGUCCACCCCGUAGACGUUGGGAACUAGUUGUGGGGUCCUUUCCACGGAUUCCGUGACGCAGCUAACGCAUUAAGUUCCCCGCCUGGGGAGUACGGCCGCAAGGCUAAAACUCAAAGGAAUUGACGGGGACCCGCACAAGCGGCGGAGCAUGCGGAUUAAUUCGAUGCAACGCGAAGAACCUUACCAAGGCUUGACAUACACCAGAACACCCUAGAAAUAGGGGACUCUUUGGACACUGGUGAACAGGUGGUGCAUGGUUGUCGUCAGCUCGUGUCGUGAGAUGUUGGGUUAAGUCCCGCAACGAGCGCAACCCUCGUUCUAUGUUGCCAGCACGUAAUGGUGGGAACUCAUGGGAUACUGCCGGGGUCAACUCGGAGGAAGGUGGGGAUGACGUCAAAUCGAUCAUGCCCCUUAUGUCUUGGGCUUCACGCAUGCUACAAUGGCCGGUACAAAGGGCUGCAAUACCGUGAGGUGGAGCGAAUCCCAAAAAGCCGGUCCCAGUUCGGAUUGAGGUCUGCAACUCGA
rnacentral:rRNA from 1 species